rnacentral:lncRNA from 1 species
GACAUUGGUCAACCCUCAUUCCAAAAAUCAGAAACUAAAAAUAAUUUUAAGUCGUGAAAAUAAAAUCAAGAAAAAUAAGUGUAUUGAAAUAAUCCACUUGAAAUAAUUAAUUAAAAUAAAAUAUUAACAUUAAAUAAAUAUGAAAAUAAAAAUUAAAUAAAAUUAAAUAAAACAUUAAGAAAUGUAGAAAAUAUUUUUUGGGAUUUUUAUGAAUAAAUAAAAUAUUUUUAUUAAUUAAAAACAAAA